GGAGGGGUGCGAGCGUUAAUCGGAAUUACUGGGCGUAAAGCGCGUGUAGGUGGGACAAGUAAGUUGGAUGUGAAAUCCCCGGGGCUCAACCUGGGCAUGCCAUACAAAACUGCUUGACUAGAGUACGGUAGAGGGAAGUGGAAUUUCAGGUGUAGCGGUGAAAUGCGUAGAUAUCUGAAGGAACACCAGUGGCGAAGGCGGCUUCCUGGACUGAUACUGACACUGAGACGCGAAAGCGUGGGGAGCGAACAGGAUUAGAUACCCUGGUAGUCCACGCCGUAAACGAUGAGAACUAGCUGUUGGGGACUUCGGUCUUUAGUGGCGCAGUUAACGCAUUAAGUUCUCCGCCUGGGGAGUACGGCCGCAAGGUUA
rnacentral:rRNA from 1 species